GCAAAAGAUGUAUUUUAUAUCUAAUUAAUAAUUUAUUAAAAAAAAUAAAAUUUUGACUGAAAUUUUGGAGCCAAAAAGGCUGAAAAUUUCAGACCAAUAUACCCAAAAUCUCAUUUGUCUCUGUCCAAUAUACCCAAUAUACCAAUAUACCCUAAAUUUCAGACCAAACUCUCUGUCCGACGAGCUCCUCACCACGACGUCAAGGACCAGCGGCCUCCGCUUCUCCCGGUUCUCCUGCGUCUCUUCCUCCACCAGCUUCAACGACGGACGAAUGGUAUACUACAACUUUGGUUUUGAUUGAUCUUUGGUGUUCGAAGAACGCAAAGCAACUUUAUUGGAUUAGUUAGAAACUUCAGAAUGGAUAGAGAUUGGAUGAGUGCAGAUAGGUUGUCAAUAAAAUAUAGGGAAGGUGUUGAUCUGUUUUUGGAGUUUGCUGAGAAGAAGGCUUCCAAUCCUAAUUUUGUUCAUUGUCCAGAGCAACCAGAUGACAAUCAGUGUGGGUAUUAUAGCAUGAGAUUUAUUAAAUCAUUCAUGACUGAAAAUAAUCCUACACGAAAAUCGGAAACAGAGUUUAAAAGGAACAAAUCAUCCUCUUACACUAACAAAGAAAUCAAUGAAAUACGUGACGAAUGGGCAAAGUAUGUCAUGCAGAUGAUAGCAACAGGCAAAUGACUAAUAACAUAGAGUAUGAUGACCAAUGAUUGAUAGGUUUGACAUCGAUCUUAGUUACUAUUGUCUUGCUUUUUUAGUUUUUAGGAAGUGAUCUCCAGCUAUUUGAUUAAAGUCCCAAGUGACUACCUGAAGACUUAUUUUGUUCUUAGUAUACAUAUUUUUGGAUGUUCAGAAGAUAUUCUACAAAAGAUUGCAAAAUGUAAAAAUUUAAUUGGAUUUCCUUCUUUUGUAUUGCAUUACUAAACUUUGAUGGCAUAUUAUGGUUUUCACGAAGCUUUA